AGCGAACGCUGGCGGCAGGCCUAACACAUGCAAGUCGAACGGACCCUUCGGGGUUAGUGGCGGACGGGUGAGUAACACGUGGGAACGUGCCUUUAGGUUCGGAAUAGCUCCGGAAACGGGUGGUAAUGCCGAAUGUGCCCUUCGGGGGAAAGAUUUAUCGCCUUUAGAGCGGCCCGCGUUUGAUUAGCUUGUUGGUGGGGUAAUGGCCCACCAAGGCUACGAUCAGUAGCUGGUCUGAGAGGAUGACCAGCCACAUUGGGACUGAGACACGGCCCAAACUCCUACGGGAGGCAGCAGUGGGGAAUCUUGCGCAAUGGGCGAAAGCCUGACGCAGCCAUGCCGCGUGUAUGAUGAAGGUCUUAGGAUUGUAAAAUACUUUCACCGGUGAAGAUAAUGACUGUAGCCGGAGAAGAAGCCCCGGCUAACUUCGUGCCAGCAGCCGCGGUAAUACGAAGGGGGCUGGCGUUGCUCGGAAUUACUGGGCGUAAAGGGAGCGUAGGCGGACAUUUAAGUCAGGGGUGAAACG
rnacentral:rRNA from 1 species